rnacentral:lncRNA from 1 species
AAAAAAAAAAAAAAAAGUCUAGCAAAUUAAUGCAUAUAAACUUUGUCAAUGAUCAUGAAUGAUAAAAAUUAAAAUUAGUAAAUAAAAAUAGAUAAAAAAAUAAAAUAAAUUGAAAUCGAUAAUAUUGUUGUCGACUCAAAAUUCAUCAUUUCCUAAAUAAUAAAAUAUGAAAGUAAAUCAGAUGGGUAAAUAAAAUGAAAAAUAACAAAAAUAAAUAUUGUUAUAAAAUAAACUUAAAAAAUAAAAGAAGAGAAGAAAAUAAAAUAAAAUAAAAAAAUAACUUAAUUAUUUGUUUUCUCUUUAUUAAUUCAUAAACAUUUAUUUAUAGAUUAAGAAGUAAUACGAGUGUUUGAAAUAUCGGAAAAUUUCGGCGAUAUUUCUCCGAAAUUUCGCUUAUCGGCCGGCCCAGACACGAUAUUCGUCACCGAUUAUCGGUCGAUUAAAUUUCGGUAAUUUUUCGGGAACAUCGCCAAUCGGUAUUUAUCGGUCUCUUUACCGAUUUUUCGGGAAAUUUCCCGAUAUCUCCUACCAGUCCAGCCUACGCACAGGAUACAAAAUCUGUCCUUUUUUUUAAAUAAAAUAAGAUACUAUUUGGUAAUCUGAUCAUUAUUUGCAGGCAAAGGUUGUGUUUUUCAGCCUGGCUCAAAAAUCGUGGAUUUAGGGUUCGUGAAAUUUAAAUCCAGUGGCAUAAAAGCAAAGAGACCCCUAGAACAGAUCCAGAAAACACAGGGAGUAAAAAAAAAACAGCAAUUUUUUUGGUUUUCCUUGGGGGUUUCGCAUGGAUUUUCUCGGAAAUUAAACGAGGAUGAAUUUUCCCGGAAAUCAAAUGGGGGAUGGAUUCUCUUGGGAAUCAAACGGGGGUUGCAAAAUAAUAAUAAUAAUAAUAACAUCAUUAGAUUAGUACCUGCGAGGAUCAGGCGUGGCAGAGGAAAAUAGGGCCUUUUUAGGGAUUCUCUCGUCUGGACGGCAACUUCAGACGAGGGCUUCUUGAUGCCUCGAGUGACAGAAGUGGGUGGCCUUUUUAGUUUUAGAUUUGGUAGAGAUAAAAAAAAAAAAAAGGAAACAAAUCAUAAGAACAAUUUUCCUCGAUAUAAAUAAUCAUUAAUUAUUAAUUAUUAAUUAUUCAUCUUAUUUUUAUUAAAUAAAAAUUUCAAUGAUUUACUUUACAGUCGGGCUUGGGUUCAAUCCCUAGCUAGCAUUGGACUAUGAUACUCUUUAAUAAUAUAUGUCAAAUUUAAAUUUGUUAAGGUUAAUCAUUAAAAAAAACCUAAUUCUAUUUUUUUAUUUUAAAUUAUAUUUAAUUGAUUAAUAAAAUAUAAAAAUCAAUAUUAUAAUUUUUUUAAUAAGUCUUUUUUUUUACAUUAUUUAUAUGAUAAUUAAAUAUUAAAAAAAUCAUAUAUAUAUAUAUAUAUAUAUAUAUAUAUAUCAUUUAUUUCACACUAUUAAAUGUAUUUAAAUCAAAUAAAUUAUGAUUUUAAUAUUAAAUAUAUCAUAAUUUAUCUCAUUAAUCUUAUUCUAAAAAAUUACUAUCACUUCACUUUUAAAUUUUUUAUAUUUAUCCUUUUAAUUUUGAAUGUUUUAUUUUAAAAUAUUAAAAAUAUAAAUUUAUUUUUUAAAAAAAACUAAAAUAUAAAUAAUAAUGAUGAUAAUAAAGUUCUAAUAUUUUAUAAAUUAAAAUUAAUUUGAUAAGAUAAAUAAUAAAUUAUAUAUUAAGACUGAUAUAUUCUUGUAUAUAGAUAUUUUUCUUCGUAACAAUAUCUAUGUCAAUUACAUUUAUAAAAUAACUUUAACCAUGUGAAUUUUUAUUUAUUUUAUAGUUUUUUUCAAAUAUUUUCAAGAAUUUUAAAUAAUUUUUACUUUGCCGAUAUUUUUGUCAAAAUAUCCACCAAUAUUUCUCCAAUAUUUUUUUAUAUAUCCAUAAAAUCCAAGUACCGAUAUAUCUGUAUUUACCGAUAUUUCAAACCUUGGUAAUACCAAUGUGGUAAGAGUACAAAUAUGGUAAUAGUGUUGUUAUCCAUUAAUUAUAAAAAAUAUUUAUAAUAUUUCCUUGAAUGACAACCAUUUUUAGAAUAUAUCUUAUUAAAAAAAAUCUAUGAAAAAAAUUCUAAUAAAAGAAAAAGAGUAUAAUAUUUUUUUUAAACUAUUACAACUAUUUUGUUAAAAACUUUAUCAGUAAAUCACAAUGGGACAAAACUUGAAUAAAGAUAAAAAAGAGUAUGAUGUAGUAACAUCUUUAUUUAUCUAUUCCCUUCAUAUUGAUAUGAUUAUAUUUUCUCUAUUAGUUUUGCAUGAAGAUCAUUGAAUCACCGCAUUCCAAUGUUAUGUAUAAGUUUCUUGAGUGUGAUAGUUGAUAAUAUUUUUGUAAAUAGGUUUACUAAAUUGUUGCUUAAUUUUACUUAUUGAACAUUAAUUUCAUCGCUCUUUUAGAGUUCAUGGUGUAAAACAACUAUAUGCUUAGUUCUAUCACUCUUAGUGUAUCCUUCUUUAAUAUGUGCAAUGCAUGUGACAUUAUUUUCAUGUAGCAUUGUCAAAUUGUCUUUAACGGGAGAUAGUACGCAUGAUUCUCAAUAUAUAUUGGAUUAUAAAUCUCAACCACACACAUUCCCAACUUCCUUAUGAUUUGCAAGUUUCUUUGAAUAAUUUGAAGAAAUAGUUAUCAUUAUCAACUUCAAUAGAAUCCAUUUAAGAAGGUGACAACUUAAUAUACCAACCAAUAGCUAAUACUUACUCCAUCCCUUUAACUCUAAUUUCUUUGAGUUAGUGCAAAACUACAUCCUUCUAGUAAAUUCACAGAAAAUGGUUUGUUAGACCUUGUACAAUUUGUAAGAUAUAGUAAAGCAUCAAUUGUACUAAGAUAUGUCACUUUUAAUUCAAACAAUUCUUCAUUAUCUUCUUUAAGAUGAAAUAAAUCGUUAUUCACUUCAAGUGAACGAACAACCAUAUGGGAGUUAAUGGAUGUAAUUUAUCCAUGUGAGUCUGUAUAUGUUGAUUGAUGAACUAACACUCUACUUAGAAAGUGCUUGAUCAACAAGUCAAGACAAAGUUUUGUUUUAUUAUAUCUUUUAUUUCAAAUUCAAUUUUUAGAUAGUUAAAUGUUCUUGUGAGCUCUUUAGGAAUUCCAACAAGAUUCAAAUUAUCCUCAUACGCUACAAUAAUUAUGAUUUGGUUGUUCAUUUCUUAAUGAAUACACAUGAGCAAAUAAGAUUAUACACAUAUUUUUCCUUCAAUAAAUAUUCAUUGAGACGAUUGUAUCACAUGCAUUUGGAUUACCUAAUCCAAAUAAGGAUUUUUGUAGCUUAUUAUAUAGAUGUUACAAGGUAAAUUAUGUGUUCUCGACAUCUUACAUCCUUAAGGGCUUUAUUUGCUUCAACAUUUUAAAUCCUUUCAGGACCUGGUUGCUUCAUGUACUUGAAUCCUUUAGGGAUUUUAACAUGUUUAUGGAUCCAUAUUAUAUAGUGCAUAUUAAGUCCUUUAGGGAUGACUAAUCUUGAUAGUUAGGAAUAUGAUUGAGUCAUUACAAGAGUCAAUAGAAGAUUUCUAUAGGAAACCUUAUGUUAUAAUUUUUUAUUAUCUCAAAUACAUUUUUGUUAUGAUAACUCAUUUGCAUAUAGUAAUUUUAACGUCUUUCAAAUGUUUUAGAUUUCAAGUGCAUUUAUAUCCAAUAGACUCUACGUCUUCCAACAUAUAAACUACAAGUCCAAAUACUCCUCAUUUUGUCAACAAAUCUAGUUGGUUGUAUUGCAUAUUCCAUUUUGCCUAUUUAUUUCUAUGUCGGCAUUCUUGCACAAUUCAUGAUUUGGAAUCUUUAUCAUUUCUCAUGAUGUCAAAGGUCAUUUAAAAUGAGACAAAUGCAUUUUUAAUGACAACAUUAUUUUGAUAUCAUCUUCCUCAUGUCAUAUACAUAACUAAUAAGGAUCUCUUUAGGUAUCUAUGCUUUUUUGGGGGCCAUUUGUCCAACUUGUACUUCUUUAGGAGCUACUUGUUCAAUAUGUGCCUCAUUAAGGGCUUUUUGUUCCAUUUGUGUCUCUCUAAGGGUUACUUAGGACUCAUUAGUCAUUUUGUGGUCUUUUUAAGAGUACCAAGUUUUCAAGUGUUUUCCUCUUUUAGGAAUUACAUCCCAUGAGUUGAUAAGUCUAUUAUGCUUCAGGUGUACCUUAGAUUUAUUUUUUGUUAUAAUAGUUGUUUGUCCUACCAAAACAUAAAUUUAUCACACUUUAAGUAUGUUUUAGAUUUAUUUGUUGGAAUACUAGUUAAUUAUCCUUCAAAGAUAUCAAAUAAUAUUUGCUUGUAUCAUAAUAAAAAAGAAAACUUUGUAAGAAAUUUUAGGUUGUUCUUUUAGAAUAAAUUUUUGUUCCCUUAAUAGCAAGAAAAUUGUCUCAUCAAAAUGAUAAUAUACACAAUAUGUAAUACUACCUAUUCAAGUGUAUAGAUAGACUAGUCACUAGAUAAAAUUUUUUGGUUUUAUAAUCUAAGUCCAUAUGACUUUAUAACGAGUUGAUGCAUCAUUGUUUAUCCUAGGGGACCAAGUCGAUUGUGCAAGAUUCUUCUAGGUCUAGUAUAGUACAAAGUGUCAUUUACAUGGAAUCAAAUGCUAUUAGUGACAUAGUAUGAGCUCUUCUAUAGUCUUUAAUCAAGUUUUCAUUGUCUGAUAUAAUAUUAUUAUCAUUUGUUAUCAAUGUUGUACAAUUAAUAAGACAAGAGUUUCAUCAAAAUGAUAACCCAUAAAACAUGUCAUAAAAACAUCUCCCUUAUAGGGUUGAAAAAAUCACAUUAUAGAGGAAGAGUUAAAAUCAAUAGAAAAACACUUGUCACCGAUGAUGAUCUUAGCUUAAUAAGUUAUGUAAAAGCAAUGGGAACAUAUAUAACAUAACAAAAAAAUAUGGAAGAGAGAAUUUAGAGUUAUAUAUGUAGGGAAUACUUGGAUUUCUCCAUUCUUAUCCCUAAACCAAUUAAGGUGCAUGUAAAUCUCCCUAGGCUUCUCUAGAUCCUAAGCAUUGAGGAAAACAUAGUAUAAAAAACCAACCAAGAUCUAGAGAAUAGUGAUUUACCUCAAAUCUAGAGGUUCGGAAAAGGUUUAUCGAAGGUGUGGUAGUCAUAGUAGAUUUCACAAACUCAAUGAUCUUCUAUUACAAUGUCUCUCUACUUUGAUCCUAAUACUAGAGGGGUGGAAUCCUCUAAGGUUGGUGACUAGAACUCUCCCUCUCUAGAGUGAAUAUAAUGCAAGACUAAAGCCUUAACCUCUAAGGAGGUUAUUUAUAGGCUUCUAAUAGGCUUAAGUGACUUGAACCCAUUUAUAGAGUUUGGUCACUUAUGUUGGGAUAGAACCCUAGAAAGUAUGACAUGAUGUAACAAAUUGAGAUUCACUAAUAAAUCUAUUUAUUUACGUUUUUGGUUCCCUUUAUUAUCCCUUAUGGAUUAAUUGGUUAACUAAGUAUUCACACCCAUAUCAUUUGCAUUGUACAUGACCUGAGUGCAUUAGGAGUUACAUAGAAGAUCCAAGUCAUGGGUUCUUUGUAAGAUGAUAAGUAGUUCAUAGUUGGUUCAUGACUUUGUCAAUCCAGUAGAAAUUGUAGUGCAUUAUUUCUCACAAGGAAUGACUAGCUCUACCUAAAUUAGUUUCUUUGAAACUAGUUACUAGAUCCAAAUUAUCAUGUUGAGUUCAAAUGAUUAAUUGAGCUUUGUUUAUGUGAGAAAGAGAGUGAUAAUAAAGAAUAUACAUGAUAUUUGUAACAAAGAAAAUGACCAUGCAUAUGUCAUAAUUGAGCAUUCAAGGCAUAACAAAAGUUUAGCAAAAAUGUAAAGCUCUUAUGGUUAUAUAUCUUUUUGCAAGGUAUCCUAAUAUCAUAAGAAUCAAGCUUAUGGUGGGCAGAUCAUGACCUUAUUACUAUUUAGAGAUCCUCUCAGAUUGAUCUCCUAGAUUUAAACAAGAAAGGUAUCUAAAGACAAGAUCAACAUACUUUUUCUUUAGCCCAUGGACUAUGCAAAUGGGAUCAUGGUGGGCGAUUCGACCACUUUAUAUCCAAUGCUAAGUGUAUAACCAUUAUCCUUGAACUAUCAGUGUUACCAAGUAAGGACAAUGGUGGGGUGGUUGCUCCCACUAUAGACAUAUCUAGUCUCGUCUUAAAAGUCUAUAUCCCUUAAUUCUUAGGGUACAACCCAUCGAUGGGGUGGUGAUAAACCCAAAUCAAGAUGAGCUUGAAAAUGGAGGUCGUGGGCUAACCUAGGGCCCUCUCCCACUUAAUAUUUUGAAAUAAAUAAGAGCAUUUUAAAUCCUUAAUAAUUACCUUGAUGAAUAAAUUAUCUACUUUGAGAAUUUCUUAAAAUAUUUAUUUCCUAAUUGGAAACCUAGUAUAAUAGGAGAAUGUGCAUAUGAAAAUUUUAAAAUUUUCAUGAGAGUAUUUUUCAAAAAUAAAUUUUGAUAAAUUAUCUACUCCUAAAUUUAAAAACCAUUUUCAUAAAAUUCUUCUUCUCUUACACAAAUCCAAUUAAUAAAUAUUUUAUUUAAGAAAUGUCUUCAAAGAAAUUUAUUUCCAACAAAAUACUAAUUAUCCUUUUGGUAAUAACCUUUUGAUAAUAAAUUAUCUCUAAUAAAAUUUUCAUAAUAUUUAUUUUCAAAUUGGAAACUUUAGUGUAAUAAGGAAAUUACCAAUGUAUGAGAUUUUGAAAAUCUUGAGAGCACCUUAUCCAAGAAGGGAACUUCAGCUUUUAUAUUCAAAAUCUUGGCAUUUUAUAUCUAAGCAAUGAAAGCAAUACCAAUUUUCACAAAAAAAAAAAAAAUUGAUCUUUAGGGUUAAAGUACUAACCUUUAGGUUUAGAUGUUCCCAAACCUUAAAUCCAAGUAUUGAAUAAUCAAAUCAAUGUCGUCAAAAGUCUCAUAAACCCAUGAUAUUUCACCCGAUGACUUUUCCUUAAUCUUGGCAUACUUCCGAUGGGAAGGAGGGUAAGAAGAGAGGGUGGAGACUAUGAUUCUCUUUCUUUCCGGAGGUGGAAGACAAUUCUAUGAAAAAGCUCUAGAAACCCUAAUCCCUCAUAGGGUAUUUAUAGGGUUCCCCAUUAGACUAAAGUGACAUGAACCCAUUAAGGGUUUGAGUCACUUAAUUUAAACCAAAAUUGGUCAUAAUUGAUUAAUUAACCCAAAAUGGCCUACUAAUUAAUCAAUUAACCUAACCUAGAGACCUUGUUCACUUACUGCUAUGCAACUUUAAGUAAUUAUCAAAAUGCCCUUAUGCACAAAAGCGAACCUAUGGUCAAUCCAACCCUUAUAAACUGUACUAACAAGGUACAUUGCCUCAAGUGGAGACCAUUAGACCCAUAAGACAGUGCCGACUCACUCAAAAUCUAAUUAUAAAGUUGAUUCAACAUUCGACUAUAGAGAAUCAACUACACUUCAGUUCUUUACAUAAAUAAUAACGAGACACUAAGUGCUUGGGUUUGUGACUUGCAAUCUAUUGUGUUUACUCUCCAUAAAUUGGUGAUUGUAGUCUAACAAGGUGAAAACUAUCAGCCUUUUAAGACUACCUCUACUAUCCUUGAGUUUCAUAUCCUACUAUUGUGUGUUCAAUUGACAUGUUUUAAUUCUCAAAUGAGCUAUGUCAAGUUCCACUUAAGAAACUACUAUGAUCAUAAUUUACAUGAACAUAUCUGCUUAGGAUCACCUAAGAGAUCACUCUGUCUCAAUUCCAAGAGAUAUCAUGGUGCCUCUAUUGAGAAUACCUAUUGCUAUUGACUUCCAUCAAUAGUGAGCUAAUCUAUAAUAAAUAUAUGAUGAACUUACAAUCUCAUCUGUAGGUCAAAGCUACUGCUAACUUUAGCAUAAGCUCAACAUUCUCUCAAGAUUAAGAAACAAUACAAUGAAGCAACUUAUUGAAGUCAUGACUACUUGAUAGCCUUAAGUCAUGACUCACUGUAGGUCUUAUCCAAUAUGUAACCAUGCACACUAGUAAACUUAUCAGGGGAAACUCCUCUCGAUGGCCAAUACCAGUCAUCUCUUCAAUUAGAAGGUAGUGCAUUAUAGCCUCAAAUGGAUUACAUAAGUCCACGAAUCGGUUGUGAGAAAUCAUUUAUUUACAAGGAACCCAUGACUUGAAUAUUUUGUGGAACUCCUAAUGCACCCAAGUCAUGUACAAAGUAAAUGAUGCUGAGUGAGAAUGCUCAUAAAGUACAAUGCAUGAAAUAAGGAUAGAUAAAAGUGAAACCAGACUAUCAUUAAAUAAAUAAUGAAUUUCAAAUCUGUCACAUCAUGUCAUGCUUUUAAAAACCCUAUCUUAACACAAAAUUCCUCACAAAUUUAAUUUCCUAAUUUCUUACACUUUUCUAAUUUAAUAAAUAUUCUCAUGGAAUCUAAUUUUUAUGAUAAUUUACUCCAUUAAAAAAUUACCAAAAAUAUAACCUUUAGGUAAUUCCUUAAUGGAUAAAAUAUUCUCUAUGAAAAACUUCCAAAAAUGUUAAUUUCCUUAAAAAGAAUUAAACAAUCCAUUUCGAAAAAUAUUUUCAAAAUCUUUUAUAUCUCUAUUAAAUUACUAAACUUUCUAGAAAUAUUUUGGUAACCUUUCUUAUUGUAAAUUCUCUAUUAUGAGAUUUUUCAAAUCCAUUAUUUACCUUUUAAACUAAAACUCCUAUGCUAAAAGAAUUACUCUCUUAUUCCUUAUCUUUGGAAUAUUCAUAUCCAAACUAAGUGGUUUCCUCAUUUUCUCAAGGAAGAAGAGCUUAAAGGACCCUCAUAAGUGUAGUUCUCCUUCUUUUAGUGGGGGAGAUGAGAGUUGGGAGAACCACUUAUACUAUAACUAAAAUGAUAGUUCCAAAAGGAAUAACAUUUUUCUUAGCAACAAUCAGUUUAUAAAUAAUCUUAAAAAAAUCUUCUCAUGAAAAUUUACUAAGAAUACCAAAACAUUUUUCUUUUAGGUUUUAACACUUAUUUUGGUAACCUACUUAAUUAUAAAUUAUCUAUCAUGAAUUUUCAAAAUUAACUUAUUUUCUUUAAAUCAAAAUCUUGUGCAAAGAAAAGGAAAAAUAUUAUUUCAUAAAGAUUUGGAAAAUUAAAACCUUUUCCUUAAAAGAAAGAUUUUAUUAUUAGAAAUCUCAAAAAAUUGAGAAGAUUUUAAAUAAAAUUAAAAUAUCUAAAAAUUAAUUUUAAAAAGGUAAGAAACCUCUUAAUCCUUUUCCAACAUAUCUUUUCUUAAAACAAAAUUUCCUAAUCAUGCAUAUUUCAAUUUAAAUAAGUUUUCCAAUUUUAAAAAUUCAUGAUAAAUUAUUUUAAAUUAAGAAUACCAAAGUAUCUUAAGGCCACAUAUGCAAUUAAUAAAGAUAACAUAAAAUAACAAGUAAGGAAAUAAUUAAAUAAAUCUUUUCCAUGGCUUUUAGGGAUCUUGUUGUAUAUUUGGUAAUUAAAAUUUGGGCAAAAUCUAAAUUACAAAAAUAACCCUAAAACUAAAGAUUUAGUAAAAAUUGAAAAAACCCUAAAAGACCCAUUUAUUGCCAAAAAAUGAACCCAAAAAGAGGCUUAAAUAGGAGAUGAAUAGGAAAAACCCUGCAAAACAAUAUGAGUAUAUCCUAGAAUAGAUCUAGCAUACAAGAACCUAUCCUAGGGUUUUGAUACCAUUUGUUGGGAACCCCGAAUUACUUUGUUCCUUGGCUCUGGAUCUUCUAGGGUGCAUACAUCUAUCCUAGGCUUCUCUAAACCUAACACGAUGGAAACAAAUGGCAAUAAAAACCAUUUUUAUCAUAGAUCCAAAGAUUUGAAACUCAUACUUGUGAUCUUGAUGUUCCUAGAUUGAAUUCCAUCUAAUGAAGAUGUUGAGGAAUAUUCCAAAAUCGUAGAAAACACUAUGGAGAUUAUCUACCCAAUGUUCUUCGAUCCAACUCUUUCUCCAUAGGUCUUGGUAGAAGAGAAAGGUGGGCUUCGCUUUAUCUCUAAAGGAUGGUUAGGGUUCCUCUCUCUGGAAGGUAAUGGUGAAAAUAGCAAAAGCCUAAACCCUAAAUCCUCAAGGAGGUUUAUAUAGGGCUCUUUGUGGUCUUAAGUGACCUAAGUCUAAAUUGGGUUUGGGUCACUUAAUCUAGCCUACUUGGAUCCUAAUUAAUUAAUUAACCUUAAUGAGAUCCAAUUAAUUAACUAACCCAACUAGAAAGUCAAUUUAUAAGAUUUAAUGUAAUCUUGUGUUUUUAUCAAAAUUCCCUAAUGCACACUUAUGAAUUAUAUACCCAAAAUACCCUUAAAGUAUGUACCACUGAAAUAAGAGUUCGAGUAAGGACUAUUGGGACUCAUAGAAAAAUACUAGCUCUUUUAGAAUUUAAUUUUGAAGUUGACUCAACACUCCACUAAAGAAAGUCAACUGCACUCUAGUAUCCUAUGAAAUUAUAACGAGCAUAGCUUAGAUCCUUGACCUGCUAUUCAUUGCACAUAGACUCCUCAUGAACUGAUGUUUGUAAUCUAAAAAGACAUUGCUAUAAACCCAUCGACAUUACCUUUUCAAUCCUUAAGUUAUAGAUCCUUCUAUUAUGUGAUCAAUUGACAUACUUUAACUCCAAGGAGCAUAUGUCAAAUUCUACAAAAAGGAAUUAGUGUAGCCAAAGAUUUCAUGAUAACAUGUCCUUUAGAUCAUCCAAGGGGAUGCACCGUCUCAAUCCCAUGAGAUAUCACAAUGCCUCUAUUGAGAAUACUUAUUGCCAUCAACUUCUAUUAACAACAACCUAAUUCGUAGGGAAUAAAUGAUCACUUUAGGGUCUCACCCAUAGGUCAAAGUUUCUUAUUGAUUUCAGUAAAGCUUAAUAUCCUCUCAAGGUUGAGAGUCUAUGCAACCCAUUACCUUGGUGAAUCAUGACAAUUUGAUAGCCUUACAUCAUGAUUCACCAUAGGUCUUAUGUCCAAUGUGUAACAAUAUACACUAUUGUACUUACCAUGAGAACCCCAUCUCAACGACCAAGACAAACCAUUCCUCUAAUUAGGAGAUAGUGCACUAUAGUCUUUAUUGGAUUGCCUAAAUCCAUGAAUUGACUAUGAACAAUUUAUCAUCUUGCAAGGAACCCAUGACUUGUAUCAUCUGUGUAACUCCUAAUGCACCCAAAUCAUGUAUAAUGCAAGUGAUAUACGUUGAGUAUUCAAAUAAAUGUCAAUACAUAAACGGGAUAUCAAAGGGACAGUCAAGUCUAACUUCGUUACAUCCUGUUUUGCUUUUAGAGGCUCAAUCUUAACAUAGAGGCAGAUCUAGAUAAGAUCAAAUUCAUCCUCAACAUGCCUGCACCAAAGAUACAAAAUGAGAUUAGAGGUUUUUUUGGGAGGUUACAAUAUAUUAGCAGAUUUAUAGCUCAGUUGAUUGAUAUUUGUGAGUCUAUUUUUAGAUUGUUGAGAAAAAGUCAACUAACUAUUUAGGAUAAUGCCUGCCAAAAGGCAUUUGAGAGGAUUAAGGUAUAUUUAUUGAAGCUAUCGGUUUUAAUACCUCCAAUCCCAGGUCACCCAUUGUUAAUAUAUUUCUUUGUGAUGCAUAUUGCUUUUUUGGGUUGUAUGCUUACUCAACAUGGCAACGCUAAAAAUCAGCAAGUCAUUUAUUAUUUAAGUAAUAAGAUGCUAGAUUAUGAGUUGCGAUAUGUGAUGAUUGAGAGGAUGUGUUUGGCACUAGUCUAGGCUACUAGAAGGUUGAAACAUUACAUGAUAGAGUAUUUAGUAUUUCUUAUUUUACGCCUUGAUCCUUGAGAUACUUAUUUCAUAGGCUUGCUAUUAUUGGGAGAUUGAUGAGAUAGGUAGUGUUACUAACUGAAUUUUAUAUCCAACAUGUGACUUAAAAAUGCGUUAAAAAGAGCAUCAUUGCAGAUUAUCUUGCUUCAUUUCCAAUAUUUGAUGAAAGAAUAGUCAAUAAUGAUUUUCUUUAUGAAGAUGUUGCAACAGAUCAUUCAAAAAAUCAAGUAAUUUAUUAGGUAAUCAAGAUAAUCAAAGUUAUAACAAAAAAAAAAAACCCCCAUAAAUAAAGAACAAUAUAAUUAACAAUCAAGUAUGUUCUCUUAGGUGAUCUUAAAGACAGGUGAUCAUAUAUUUUUAGUCCCAAUAAUUCCUAAUAAAAAGCAAUCCAAGUAAUUAUUGCAUCCCCAAUUAAAAGGAAUCACAAUUAUCACCAUCAUAUUAUAACAAUAUCAAAUAAAGAACACAUUAAUUACCCCUGAGGCCAUGGUAUGAACAAAAACUUUGCAAAACCAAGUUAGCACACCCUAGAAUGGUUCUAGCAUGAUUACUAACCUAUGGAUUUGAUACCAGUUGAUGGGAAACCCCGAAUCUCUUCAUUUCCCAAGCUCGGAUCAGGUUAGGAACAUGCAUAACUAUCCUAGGCUUUUUCUAAAUCCGAUGCACAAGAGAAAAAUAACGUUUUUAAACUUUAAAAGAAUUCAUAAAGUGCUAACAAAAACCAUACCUCAUAUUUGGAUGUUCCCGAAUCAAAUCCACAUGGUGAAGAUGAAAAUUGAAAUCCCAGAAUUGUUGUAAACCCCAAGUUUUUCGCCCAAUGACUUAAACCUUGAUCUUGGCACAUUUCUUGUGGGAAGGAAAAAAUGGUGGAGGCUAUGACUCUAUAUCUCUCUGGAUGGCAGAAGACAAAAGUUAUGGAAACCCUAACCCCUAUGGGGUAUUUAUAGGGUUCUUAAGUGGGCUUAAGUGACUUGAGCAUAUGGGCUUGAGUCACUUAAUCUAGCCUAAAAUGAGUUCUAAUUGAUUAAUUAACGCAAUAGGGCUUACUAAUUAAUCAAUUAGCCAAAUCCAGAGACCUUGUUCACUUACCCCUAUGCAACCUUACGUAAUUACCAAAACACCCUUAUGCACAAAAGUGAACCUAGAACCAAUCCGACUCUCAUAACCCAUGCCAACAAGGUAUACGCAUGGAUUGAAAAAUCGGAAAAUGUCGCCGAUAUUUCGGAGAAAUAUCGGUUAUCGGGCGGCAUCGAAACGAUAAUCGGCACCGAUUAUCGAUUGACGGAAAAAUCGGCCAAAAAUCGGCAAAAUCGCCGAUAUAUCGGCGAAAUAUCGGUGGAGGACCGAAAAAUCGGCGAAACAUCGGCGAGUGGAGCCACGCGCGGCGAAGACGGCAGAGGACAGCAAAAAAUCGGCGAUUAAUCGGUAAAAUCGGCGAUAAAUCGCCGAUUUUUUGAAAAAAUCGGCGAUUUUUUUGAAGAUUCCCUGCUUUUGAUCUGACGGCCAAUUUUGAAUUUUUGAGGAUCUGAUGGCCCAGAUUUCACCCGUGUAUGUAAAGGCCUCCAACGGUCAGAUUUGUGAUCCAAUGGUGGAAAAUCAAUCUUGACUUUAUCCAAGGGCUAUGGAGUGUUUCCAACGGUUAUAUGAAGAUCUAAUGGUGAAAUUUGAACCAAAUUUUGAUCCAACGGUUAAAAUUAAUUUAUAACGGCUAGUUUGACCAUCCAACGGCUAGUUUGACCAAAAAAAUUCCUAUAAAUACCCACAUUCCAUUUCAUUUCAUACAUCAAAAUUCUUAUAUGAUCUAGCAAAAAUUUUUUAUUUUGAAAAUUUGGUGGUGAAGGGGAUUAACUCCAAGUCAAAGGCUAAUUAAGGUAUGUCUUACCUUUUAUAAAAUUUAUUUUAUUAUGCAUAAUUAAAUUUUAUUUGUUAUAUAUAGUUUAAUUGAUAUUUUCUAAUUCAUAUGGAAAUGUAAUUGUAAUGUUUAUCUAUUUCAUAUAUGCAUAAUUCAAUUUUAAUUUUUAUUAGUAAUGAUUCUUAUCAAUUUCAUGAAUAUGCAAAUUUAAUUUAAUUUAAUUUAAUUCUUAUCAAAAUUUUAUUGUAAUGUUUAUCUAUUUCAUAUAUGCAUAAUUCAUUUUUAAUUUUAAUUUUUAUUAGUAGUGAUUCUUAUCAAUUUCAUGAAUAUGCAAAUUUAAUUUAUUUUAAUUCUUAUCAAAAUUUUAUUGUAAUGUUUAUCUAUUUCAUAUAUGCAUAAUUCAAUUUUAAUUUCAAUUUUUAUUAGUUCUUAUCAAUUUCAUGCAUAUUAAAUUUCUUACAUGUUUUAUCUUUAAUAAUUUUAAAUUUGAUAUUAGUUUCAUAAUUCAAUUUUAGAAAAUGGCUAGUGAAAGCGGUACCAUGGGUCGAGAUCCUUGUUGGAAAUAUUGUACACCUAUGGAAGGGAACAAAAAUGGAACAAUAUGCAAUUACUGUGGGUUGGCAAUAAAGAGUGGUGGGAUUACUCGUUUUAAAUUUCACCUAUCACAUACAGACCCUAAUUCAAAUACAAAAAAGUGUCCUAACGUGCCUCCAGAAGUGAAACAAGAAAUAAGACGACUUAUAGAGCAAAGAAAUAAGACAAAAGCGAAGAAAGCUGUUGAUAUAGAAGAGAUUCGAGCAGAACUGCGAGACACAAUGGGAAGAAGACAUAGGCAUUUAAUUGAUGAGGACGAUGAGGAGAACCUUGGUGGUGAUGGUGGUGGUGAUGGUGGUGGUGGUGGUGGUGGUGGUGGUGAUGAUGAUGAUGAUGGAGAUGAUGAUGUGUAUAUGUAUCCGGCUGACAUGCACCCUGAUGAGCGACAUGCUUAUAGAGAGGCGGUUCGAGCAUCAAAAGCUGCUGAAUGGAAUCGACAACAACAAGAACAUUUUAUAAAAGGCAAAAGAAAAACAGGUAUAAUAUUAAUUUGAAUUAUUACUGUUUCUUAUCAACUUUAUCAAUAAUAUUAAAUUAACAUAUAUGUUUAAUUUUAAUAAUUAUAAUAGGCGAGUCUUCACAUCCAACCAAUCCAACAACAAGGCAAAUGCGAAAAUCGCAAAGUGUUCGAUAUUCAGAUGCAUCACUGCCUGAUGCACCCUCAUUGUACAAAUCUUCAGCAGCAAGACAGAAAACUGUGAAAAAUCUUUUCAAAGGUGGUGCCAUCAAGGAAACCAUGGGACGUUUGAUCAGUAAGUUCUUCAUAUAUGAGAGUGUUCCGCCAAGUAAAGCAGACUCUCACCACUUCAAGAACAUGAUUGUUGGUGCACAACAAGCAGGUAAUUACUAUAAUUUUAAAAGUUGUAUUUAUUUGAACAAUAUCAUUACUAUUUAUAUAGUAUGAUUGACACAAAUGUUCUUAUAUGUUUUAAUUAUAUAUGGAUGGUANNNNNNNNNNNNNNNNNNNNNNNNNNNNNNNNNNNNNNNNNNNNNNNNNNNNNNNNNNNNNNNNNNNNNNNNNNNNNNNNNNNNNNNNNNNNNNNNNNNNNNNNNNNNNNNNNNNNNNNNNNNNNNNNNNNNNNNNNNNNNNNNNNNNNNNNNNNNNNNNNNNNNNNNNNNNNNNNNNNNNNNNNNNNNNNNNNNNNNNNNNNNNNNNNNNNNNNNNNNNNNNNNNNNNNNNNNNNNNNNNNNNNNNNNNNNNNNNNNNNNNNNNNNNNNNNNNNNNNNNNNNNNNNNNNNNNNNNNNNNNNNNNNNNNNNNNNNNNNNNNNNNNNNNNNNNNNNNNNNNNNNNNNNNNNNNNNNNNNNNNNNNNNNNNNNNNNNNNNNNNNNNNNNNNNNNNNNNNNNNNNNNNNNNNNNNNNNNNNNNNNNNNNNNNNNNNNNNNNNNNNNNNNNNNNNNNNNNNNNNNNNNNNNNNNNNNNNNNNNNNNNNNNNNNNNNNNNNNNNNNNNNNNNNNNNNNNNNNNNNNNNNNNNNNNNNNNNNNNNNNNNNNNNNNNNNNNNNNNNNNNNNNNNNNNNNNNNNNNNNNNNNNNNNNNNNNNNNNNNNNNNNNNNNNNNNNNNNNNNNNNNNNNNNNNNNNNNNNNNNNNNNNNNNNNNNNNNNNNNNNNNNNNNNNNNNNNNNNNNNNNNNNNNNNNNNNNNNNNNNNNNNNNNNNNNNNNNNNNNNNNNNNNNNNNNNNNNNNNNNNNNNNNNNNNNNNNNNNNNNNNNNNNNNNNNNNNNNNNNNNNNNNNNNNNNNNNNNNNNNNNNNNNNNNNNNNNNNNNNNNNNNNNNNNNNNNNNNNNNNNNNNNNNNNNNNNNNNNNNNNNNNNNNNNNNNNNNNNNNNNNNNNNNNNNNNNNNNNNNNNNNNNNNNNNNNNNNNNNNNNNNNNNNNNNNNNNNNNNNNNNNNNNNNNNNNNNNNNNNNNNNNNNNNNNNNNNNNNNNNNNNNNNNNNNNNNNNNNNNNNNNNNNNNNNNNNNNNNNNNNNNNNNNNNNNNNNNNNNNNNNNNNNNNNNNNNNNNNNNNNNNNNNNNNNNNNNNNNNNNNNNNNNNNNNNNNNNNNNNNNNNNNNNNNNNNNNNNNNNNNNNNNNNNNNNNNNNNNNNNNNNNNNNNNNNNNNNNNNNNNNNNNNNNNNNNNNNNNNNNNNNNNNNNNNNNNNNNNNNNNNNNNNNNNNNNNNNNNNNNNNNNNNNNNNNNNNNNNNNNNNNNNNNNNNNNNNNNNNNNNNNNNNNNNNNNNNNNNNNNNNNNNNNNNNNNNNNNNNNNNNNNNNNNNNNNNNNNNNNNNNNNNNNNNNNNNNNNNNNCUCAAGAAAUUUAUGCAUGGCAUGUUCGUACAUACAAUCAAUACUAUCGAAACUCCAUGUCCUGGUAUGAAUAUUGUCUUCAACAAGAUGGGCUCCCUUCAUCUAACAAUAACAAUAUGAUGGAACCACAUCGAUCUUCAUUUUGGUAUUAAGGACCAUUGCAAUGUCAUAUGUAUUAUGUUUAUGUGUAAAUUGUUUUCAUUUAAUGAAAUCAAAUAUUUCUUAACUCAAUUCUAACUUUCUAAGUGUACAAUUCCAAAUUUCAUAUUUUUUAUUCUUCAAAUCCAAGUAUCGUAAACUAUUUACCGAUAUUUUUUUCUUUGACCAUAUUUAUGUCAAUUACACUUAUAAAAUAACUUUAACAUGCAUAUUCUUGCUUAUUUUAUCAUUCUUUGGCUUUUUUUAAACAUUCCCAUCAAUUUUGGAUAAUUUUUGUCUCACCGAUAUUUGAUGAAAAAUAUCCACCGAUAUUUCUCCGAUAUUUCCGAUAUAUCCGUAAAAUCCAAGUACCGAUAUAUCCGUGUUUACCGAUAUUUCAAUCCUUGGGUAUACGAGCUCAGAGCGGGGACCAUUGGGACCCAUAGGAAUAUUUCUUUUUGAAUUUAGAACAUAAUAAAUUUUUGUUAAUAAUUUUCUAUUUGAGUUGUUUUCACUAAAUUCUCAUGAAACUACCUCUUUUCUCUCAGUGGAAUCAUUGAUAGAACUUUAUUAUAUGGUAUCAUUGAUCCUCUAUGUAUGAUAUCAUAUAGAACAUCUUUCUUAGUAACUAUGUAAGUCAACUUUGUUCCAAGUGAAUUUUUUUUGCUAUAUUUGGUUCUUGUAAAGUUUGAGGGAAAAUACAAGGAAAAAAAAAAAUAGAUAGACAAAAGUAUAAGAAAAGAAAAAGUAAAGGAAAAUAAAAAAUAAAUUUAAAGUUAAUAAAUUAUUUUUAUAUAUUAGGUCAAAUUUAUUUUACUUAUUUAACUAUUUUAUAUAAAAAAUAGUAGUUCAACACGUGUAGUAUACAUUAGUCAUGUUUGGGUAAUGUUACUUUUAUUUCUCAAUAAGUUUACCCUUAAAACUUAAUUUUCAUUCCUCAACUUUUCUAAUAUUUAACAAAAAUAUGGUUAUUGACGUAAACAAGGUUAGAUUAACAUUCCUCAACUUUUUUUUUUAUAGAGAGUAAGAGAUGAUUCAAGAAUUUGGUGAAUCCUAUAUUGGGGUUGCAUUUGUAAAGAUAUGUUCUUGAGGAAAUGUGACUUGGCUUUUUAGUGUGAUUCAUGAAAUAUAUCACAAAUUAAAAUGGUUGUUUAUGACACAUAAGUGUUAUUUUAUUUUAUUUAUUUUAAAAUUUUCAUAGUCAAUUUAUUUUAGUUAUAAUAAUUUGAUACUGCUUAAUAUUUUUAUAAUUUUUCAAGACUCCUUAAUUAAUGAAGAAGUUGUAUACUUCAUCUAAUUAAUGAAAGAUAUAUGAGAUUAAUUUUUUGUAUUGUAUAGUAAUAUUUUGUAUAUACACUUUUAAAUAUUAUUGUGUUGCAUAGAGUCAUUAGCUUAGCAAUAUAAAAGGUUGCAUAUGUUCUUGAGGAAAUAUGACUUUGUUUUUUGAGUGUGACUCAUGAGAUGUAUAAUAGCUUUGGUAUUUUUAGUGUGAUUAAUAAGAUGUAUUACAAAUUAAAAUGAUUGUGUAUAAUAGGUAAGUGUUAUUUUAUUUAUUUAUUUAUUUUUAAAAUUUGCUAUUUUACUUAUAAUAAUUUGAUAUUUUAUAAUAUUUCUAUAGUUUUUGUCGAUUAUUUGAUUAAUGAAAAGGUUGUAUAUUUCAUCCAAUUAAUGAAAGGUAUAUAAGAUUAUUUAUUCUGCAAUACUAUUUUGUAUGUAUACUUCUAAACAUUGUCAUGUAGCGUAAAAUCAUUAGCUUAGUAAUAUAAAUUUUGUAUGAUGAUCUAAUUUAAGGAAAAACAAAAUUUAAUAGCUUAAUAAUAUAACUUUUUUUUAAUUAAACUAAGAAUUUCAUUUCGUUGCACACAUGUUGCACAUUUUUUAUUUUUCCUUAAUAAAUGUUUGUCUCUCAUUUUUGACAUAAUUUUGUUUAACUUAGAUGAACAAUUAAAAUGUUAUUUGUCUUUAAUAAAGUAUUUGUCAAUUUUACUUAUAUAAUUGUGAAUAGGGUUAUGAGUUUUGAUUAUGAUAUUAGUGAUUUUUACAAACAUAUUAAAUACAAGAAAAGAUGAUAAAUGGUUUUACAUAGCAAAUAAGAAAGGGUUGACUCUGUAGCUAUUAAAUUUGCUAUUGAUGAUAGUGAACUUAUUGCUAUUUCACACCAUUAUAGCAUAAAAAUAAAUAAUCAUUCAAUUUUAAUAAUUCCUUUUACUCAACUGUUACCCAAACAAUUCCUUUGUUCUUUGUUCACAUAUUUGGGACAAAAAUUUUAUUUCCCCCAAAAAACCUAGUCACCUAGAUAUUAUAAUAAAUAAUUCCCUAUGAUUUAGUGGGCAGUUCCUAUUGUACAAUAAGGGGUAAUGUUUAUGGAUGUGUUAUGUAUGAGUUGUGAGGUAUGAUUUUACUAUUCAUAUCAAACUUGAAAUAUUCUCAUCUCACCCCAACCUUUUACCUUUUAAGUUUGGACCGUGAAAAUUUUGAUAUUUUUAACUUUAACUAAAUUUUAAAAUUUUUAUUGAGUAUUAUGUACUACUGUUAUAAUAUUAUCAUUUAGUUGAGUUUCUUGUAAAGAACCUAGAUGUAACGGAUUAUACAUCUUUACCAAAACUUGAGAAACUGCAUUGGAUAUAUAUUUUUAUUGUUCAUAUAAUUUAUAAAGGAAUUUUUUAUAGUGGUCAUGAUGCAAUGUGUGAUGAUGAGUUCUACAACUUAUAUGUAAAUUAUAAGUCAUCAUAUUCAUGGUAAUCUUAUUCUACAUAUGGUUUUUCCAUCUAUAUAAAUAUAAAUGAAGCUAUCAUUUCAUUUUUCUUUUCCAAGGAAUUUAAGCUUACUCUACCUGAAAAAUGUUGGAAAGAAAUACAUUUGAAAUUGAGUUUUGCCAAUAGUUGUUUGGUUGUAUUUUCAAAGAGUUGCAUACAAAUCUAUGAGUAGCAAACAUACAUGAGUUAUUAUUGACUACAUGAACUAAAAUAAUUAGAAAAUGAAGGGUAAAAUAUAAAGCUCUAUAAAUACUAGAUUUGACAUUAAUGAUAUCAUGUGCACCCCAUGUGCAUUAUAUUAUACAAAAAUUCUAAUAUUGCAAGAUUGAAUUCAAUGUCUUAAGGUCAUUCCAAUUACAUGUUCAAAAUUACAAAUCAAUACAGUUCAUAUGAUCAUAAAUAUCAAAUCUAGUAUUAAUAGAACUUUAUAUUUUACCUUUCAUUUUCUAAUUAUUUUUGUUCAUGCUGUCAAUAACAACCCAUGUAUGCCUGUUACUCAUAGAUUUGUAUGUAACUCUUUGAAAAUGCAACUAAAUGGUCAUCGACAAACCUAAAAUUAAAAUGUGUUUUUUCUCAAACUUUGUAACAUCGAGCAAGCUUCAAUUUCUUGAAAAAAGAAAAAGAAAUGAUAGCUUUAUUUAUAUUUAUACAUAUAGAAAGACCAUAUGUACAAUAAGAUUGCCAUGAAUAUAAUUACUUAUGAUAUACAUAUAAGUUGUACAACCCAUCACCAUAUGUUGCAUCAUGACCUCUAUCAGCAUGUUUUCCUUUAUAAAUUAUAUGAGCAAUAAAAUUAUACAUUGAAUGCAAUUUCGAUAAGGGUAUAUAAUCCUUUAGUCCUUUACGAAAAAUUCAACUAAAUAACAAUAUUAUAACACUAGUAGGGGUAUCCAGUAAAAAAUUAAAAAAAAAUAAUAAUUGAAGUUAUAAUAUUAACUGCAUGAAUAAGUCGAAGUAGGUUAUUUUCGAAGAGUUGCAUACAAAUCUAUGAGCAACAAACAUACAUGAGUUGUUAUUGACCGCAUGAACAAAAAUAAUUAGAAAAUGAAAGGUACAACAUAAAGCUCUAUUAAUAUUAGAUUUGAUAUUGAUGAUCAUAUGAAUUGUAUUGAUUUAUAAUUUUGAACAUGCAAUUGGAAUAACCUUAAGACAUUGAAUUUGAUCUUGCAAUAUUAGAAUUUUUGUAUGAUAUAAUGCACAUGAGGUGCACAUGGUAUCAUCAAUGUCAAUUAUAGUAUUUAUAGAGUUUUAUAUUUUACCUUUCAUUUUCUAACUAUUUUAGUUCAUGCGGUCAAUAGUAACUCAUGUAUAUUUGAAUCUUAUAGAUUUGUAUGCAACUCUUUGAUAAUGCAACCAAACAACUAUUGGCAAAACUCAAUUCCAAAUGUGCUUCUUUUCGACCUUCGACAUGCAGAGCAAACUUUAAUUCCUUAAAAAAAAUUAAAAAAAUGAAAUGAUAGCUUCAUUAAUAUUUAUACAAAUAGAAAGACCAUAUGUAGGAUAAGAUUAUUAUGAAUAUAAUGACUUAUAAUGUACAUAUAAAUUGUACAAUCUAUCAUCAUAUGUUGUAUCAUGACCUUUAUCAACAUGUUUUCUUUUAUGAAUAAUAAAAUUAUACAUUGAAUGCAGUUUCGAUAAUAAUAUAUAUAAUCCUUUAGUCCUUUAUAGGAAAUUCAACUAAAUAGCAAUAUUAUAACAUCAAAAGGGUAUUUAGUAAAAAAAUUCUAAAAAUCAAUUGAACUAGAAAAUAUCAAAACUAACAUAAGAUCGGGCUUAGGAGACAAAAGAUUUGGGUGGGAUGAGAAUGUUCUAGGUUUGAAAUAGAUUGUAAAAUUUUACCUCGCAACUCAUACAUAACCUACCAAUAGGCAUUAUCCCUUAUUGCAUAAUAGAGAUUUUCUACUAAAUCAUAAGGAAUUAUUUGUUUUACUAUAGGCUACUAGGUUUUCUAGGGGGCAAACAAAAUUUAUGUCAUAAUAUAACAAAAAACAAAGAAAUUGUUUAGGUAACAAUUUUACUCAAUUGUUACCCAAGUAGGAUUCCAAUCCAUAGAUGAUGAAUUUAGGAAUUCCCAAAUAUAUAUUGAGAACAUCACCACUUAUGUCAUAAGCAUAACUCAUAACUCUAUUCAUGAUGAUAUAAAUAAAUUGACAAACACUUUAUUAAAGAAAAAUAAAACCGUGCAAUGUGUGCAACAAAUAUGAAAUACUUAAAUUAUAAGGGGUUAAGAAUUGUUGCAACGAAUAUGAAAUGUUUAUAUUACAAGGGAUUAAGAAUGAUUACCAGCUAACAUAUAUAUAUAUAUAUAUAUAUAUAUAUAUAUAUAUAUAUAUAUAGUAAUGAACGAGCUCAAAAACCGAUGGGACAAACUGGAAGUCUACAAUUUAACCAUCAUAUAUCAAACUAAAAAAAAAAACAACCCAAGCCAUUUAUAGGGAAGAAUCAAGAGUAUGAGAGGGAGCAAAAUAGAGCAAAUAUAAUGCAAGCUUAAGCACAACAAAUCCAACCAUCAACGCUCAAGAUUAGCAACAACGAGGAAAGAAACAUCGAGAAAUCUAAAGCAGAAGUGUCUGUAGUGGUCAUACCUGGGCUUUUCAAGUGGAAAUGGUUCAACUCUUUCUCUUCCCCAAAGCUUGCACCUUUCAGCUCAGAAAAAAAAAAAAAAAUACUUCCUACACCAAAAAACACCACUACCCUAGUAAAAAAAAACUUCCUUAUUUGGCAAUGGAAUCUCCUUGCCUCGAAAUAUCUUCCCACAGCCCAUAAGAAAAAAAACCUCCCGCAGGCAAAAUCAAAGGCACCCACACUGCAGCUCCCUCCCCUCUCUAAUCACUCUGCCCCCUUAGCUGCCCAGAAACAUCCUCCAUUCUCCCUUGCUUCUCCUCUCUAUCACAGAAAAACGCUUCCUAUCUCCUAACCCACACGUCCAAAAAGCAACCUCUCCUCCUGUAGCUGCCAGACGCUCCUCCAUAACGGCCUUAAGAUUCCAUAAUAGGUGUCCAUUUUUCAUUGCUCCUCAAUUCCACUACCUGAUUCUAUAGCAGCCAUCCACGAGCCGACAAGUGGCUCCAUGAGAGGCUUCCACCUGGUAAGAAUGAGUUGCUGGGAUAUGACAAAAAACCGAGCCCCAUAUGGGGGUCUACAACUAUGCCCCUCUUCGGUAGAGUUCACAAGUAUAAGGAAAAUGAACACCGGAAUGUUUAUAAAAUAAAAAAUAUUAAAAAGUAAAUAAAAUGUUUAUAACAAAAAACAUAUAAGUUAUAUAUAUAUAUAUAUAAAAUUUAAAUGGGUGAUAGGAAAUAUUAACUAAAUAAAAAUAUAUAAAAUAAAAAAUAUUAAAAAUUAUUAAGGAAAAAUAAAAACGUGUAAUGUAUGUGCAACAAAUAUGAAAUACUUGAAUUAUAAGGGAUUAAGAAUGGUUGCAACGAAUAUGAAAUGCUUAUAUUACAAGGGAUUAAGAAUGAUUAUCAACUAACACGUACAUAUAUAUAUAUAUAAUUUAAAUGGGUGAUAAAAAUAACCAAUUUAAAUGGGUGAUAGGAAAUAUUAACUAAAUAAAAAUAUAUAAAAUAAAAAAAAUAUUAAAAAGUAAAUAAAAUGUUUAUAACAAAAAACAUACAAUUUUGUGGGCUAAUGUGGUGUUAAAAAACAAUUAUACGUUGUCCAAAUUCUACAUAACUAUGAUAGCCAUCCAACGCAUAUUGCUUAUCCAAAGUUUCCAUAAUAUCAUAGGAACGAAAUUCUCUAUCAUUUGGAUGUACUGUUUUCAAAGUUACCAACCUAAAAUGGUUUCACUAUAAGUAUAACUCAUAACUCUAUUCACGAUUAUAUAAAUAAAUUGACAAACACUUUAUUAAGGAAAAAUAAAAACGUGCAAUGUGUGUGCAAUAAAUAUGAAAUACUUAAAUUAUAAGGGAUUAAGAAUUGUUGCAACGAAUAUGAAAUGCUUAUAUUACAAGGAAUUAAGAAUUAUUACCAACUAACCUAUAUAUAUAUAUAUAUAUAUAUAAUUUAAAUGGGUGAUAAAAAUAACCAAUUUAAAUGGGUGAUAUGAAAUAUUAACUAAAUAAAAAUAUAUAAAAUUAAAAAAUUAAAAAGUAAAUAAUAUGUUUAUAACAAAAAACUUACAAGUUGGUGUUGUUGGAUCUAAUCUUGUAGGCUAAUGUGGUUUUCAAAAACAACUAUAUGUUGUCCAUAUUCUACAUAACUAUGAUAAUCAUCUAACACAUACUGCUUAUCCAAAGUUUUCGUAAUAUCAUAUGAACGAAAUUCUCUAUAAUUUGGAUGUACUAUUUUCAAAGUCACCAACCUAAAAUAGUUUCGCUAUAAGUAUAACUCAUAACUCUAUUCACGAUGAUAUAAAUAAAUUGACAAACACUUUAUUAAGAAAUAAUAAAAACGUGCAAUGUGUGUGCAACAAAUAUGAAAUACUUAAAUUAUAAGGGAUGAAGAAUUGUUGCAACGAAUAUGAAAUGCUUAUAUUACAAGGAAUUAAGAAUUAUUACCAACUAACAUAUAUAUAUAUAUAUAUAUAUAUAUAUAUAUAUAUAUAUAUAUAUAUAUAUAUAUAUAUAUAUAUAAUUUAAAUGGGUGAUAGGAAAUAUUAACUAAAUAAAAAUAUAUAAAAUAAAAAAAUAUUAAAAAGUAAAUAAUAUGUUUAUAACAAAAAACUUACAAGUUGGUGUUGUUGGAUCUAAUCUUGUAGGCUAAUGUGGUUUUUAAAAACAAUUAUACAUUGUCCAUAUUCUACAUAACUAUGAUAGUCAUCCAACACAUACUGCUUAUCCAAAGUUUCCGCAAUAUUAUAGGAAUGAAAUUCUAUAUCAUUUGAAUGUACUGUUUUCAAAGUCACCAACCUAAUAUACUUUCGCUAUAAGUAUUACUCAUAACUCUAUUCACGAUGAUAUAAAUAAAUUGACAAACACUUUAUUAAGGAAAAUUAAAAACGUGCAAUGUGUGUGCAACAAAUAUAAAAUACUUAAAUUAUAAGGGAUUAAGAAUUGUUUCAACGAAUAUGAAAUGCUUAUAUUAUAAGGAAUUAAGAAUGAUUACCAACUAACAUAUAUAUAAUUUAAAUGUGUGAUAAUAAUAACCAAUUUAAAUGCGUGAUAGAAAAUAUUAACUAAAUAAAAAUAUAUUAAAUUAAAAAACUAUUAAAAAGUAAAUAAAAUAUUUAUAACAAUAAACAUACAAGUUGGUGUUGUUGGAUCCAAUCUUGUAGGUUAAUGUGGUGUUCAAAAACAAUUAUACGUUGUCUAGAUUUUACAUAACUAUGUGUAGACCCCCAUUUUGGGGAGCUGUGAUUUUUCUCACGUUUCCUUUCUUGCAGCUAGCUGUGGCCAGAUGUCACCAUCCUAGGAGUCCACAUGCUGUCCUGAGAUUGGCUGUUGUGGAAUCAAAAUAGUGGUUUUAAGAGCUAAUGAGAAGGUGACACGGGGUGUGAGGGAAUCUGCAAAAGCUGCAGACCGUUUUGCCAGCUGUAGGGAGGAGCGGAUGAGAGAGGGAGAUGCUUUUCCAUUAGGGGGGGCUGCAGAGCUUUUUUGGGGAGGAGAGGAGCUUUUGUUUGGUUACUUUGGGUAGAGAGGAGAUCCGAGAGCUGUUAGUAGAGAGCUUGGAGAGGUUGGAGAGAAGGAUUUCUGGAGAGCAACUAGGGAGGAUGAGGGUUCAGUUGGAGGUAGAGGGUAUUCCUGCAGACGCCCCUUCACCAGCAGUCCCUGAUCUUAUUGAUUUGGGCGAUUGACUCAUGAUUGGCUUACCUUGGUACAGCGGCGUUCAGAUUUUGUUCCUUCUGUGGCCAGAGAUGUGAUGACAGGACCAGUCACUGUUUUUUUGUUUGUUUAGUCUUGUUUUACUUUUGACAUUUAGAGACUAUAACUCGAUUCUUGAGUAUUGUCUUUGUUGUCUUUCUUUUACAUGAUGUACUCAUCGGAUUAUCCCAUUGGAUGCAUUUUCCUUUAUGGACAUGUGUUUGUGUUUUGUGAUAUGAUGUGUUGUACUUUUGACUUGGGGCAUCUUUUCACUUGCAUAUUGUGGUCUUGAGGCUUGACCUAUCAUGGAGGAUAUUGAGCCUAUUAGCCUAGGAUCAAAGAUUUGACUUAGGGAGUUCGAGACUGUGACACAUCUUCUUAUGAUCAGAGUCAUACCUUGCUCACUUCCCGCACCUUGACUUUGUUUUGAUCUGCAUCCAUCCGUUAUGAGCUUUGCACAACAUCACCCUUGAGACCAUUACAUGACCUUUUCUAUCAUCGGUUUUUCUAGAUUUUCACCUCCCCUCUCUGAUUCGACUAGGUAGAGUGUGAGAAGUUUGAGCCCAGGGUUGAUUUCGCAUGGCGAGGGUUGGCUUAUGAUCUUUGGAUGGCUUACGAUGUGAGGAUUGGUCGAUUGCUUGAUGAGAUUGUCACUUAUUUUGCCGUGAGUAUAGAGAUUGAUAUUGUAUGAUGAGAGUUGGCUUGUGAUGAGCAGUAUUGCUUGAUGAGAUCAUCGUUUACUUUGCUUGAUGAGUACGGUUGAUACAUGAUUCUAAAGGGUUGAUGUGGUUAUACCAGAUGGACAUCGAUAUUUAGUAUUGAUCAUUUGAGGGCCUGAGAGCACGAUGUUUGAGACCGUGGUCGCAGGAUGGGUGGCCUUCAUUUCGGUUAGCUCAUACCUUAUUACCUUUAUUGACAUCAUAGUCCGUUGUUAGCCCUUUCAGCCUCUCAUGAGCAUCAUAGCCUUUUCUUUCUUAUAGCCUUGCUCACCUUCUACGCCGGGAUAGGGGCCCUUCAGUGUAUGCAUGCAUUGUUUAGGAGUUUCAUGAGCCUUGGACCGAGGGGCACAUCUUUCUCAUUAUAUUUUCCUAUCAUUGCGUCAUUGCAUUUCGUCACAUCUCGUUGGUUCUUCAUCCUCUUCUUUAUUAUAUCUAUUGUUUGUUCUGCUUCAUCUUCUCCCACCCCGAGUGGUGAUCAUCCUCAGUUCAUUACAUGGAGGGUAGUCAUGUCAUUUUCCACUAUCUAUCCUACGGACGUUGAUCCAGGGAUCCUUGGCUUGAGAGGGUCACAUUAUUAGAGAGAGUUUGUGAUAUAUUGAUAUUUGAGGGCAUGCUUAUUCAUUUUUUAUCCCGUCUUUGGGUCUUUCUUGGUUUGCUUUAGAGCAUGUAUAUUUGUAUAUAUGUAAAAAAAAAAAAAAAGAAAAAAGAAAAAAAGAAAAAAGAAAAGAGGCACAUGUGUGUAUUAUUCUCUAUCAUUGAGUAUGUGUAUAUUAGUGUUCGAGGGGUCGCUUUGUUGGAUAUGUCUAUUGAUGGGAGUUCGUAUGUGAGCUCCUCGGGACCUUUCAUUCUUCGUAUUCAUUUUGUUGUAUGUUUUGAGAGUGAGAUGAGUGGCCUUCUCUUAGGAGCUCUGGGUCAUUGUCCAUUCCAUCAUUGUGUUCGUUAUUGACGUGACCUCCUUUCAUAUUUGAUUUGAGCAAAUCAUCACUUGUUCUCAUAUUUUAUGCUUCAUCAUCAUCCUCGUUUUCACUUCUGUUUUAUCAUUUUUCAUUCCACCCCUUAUUCCAUUCUUACAGUGACCUCAUUUUCGGGUUUGAUACCCUCUUCGCGCCAUCAUUAUACAUCUCGUCAUCAGUUCGAUUUUUCUUCAUUGCAUC